rnacentral:rRNA from 1 species
GUCUACCGCCAUGCCACCUUGAACACACCCGAUCCCGUCUGAUCUCAGAAGCUAAGCAGGGUUGGGCCUGGUUAGUAUUUGGAUGGGAGAUCACCUAGGAAGACCAGGUGCUGUAGACG